GAACUAGGAAGAGCAGCUCCUGGUUCUUCAAAUUGCCAUGCCCUGAAGGAAAUCUGGCACAAAAGACUCCUUUCUCCAAGCUUGAGCCCCUCUCUUCCUAAAGGGGAAGGAGUGGAGAUGAAAUUGCAACCCUCUAAUCCCUUGAUUGGUUUCCCUGGCAACCAACCUCUAUUCUUAGGUGCUUUCUAAAAGGCACCUUAUUAAUUAUUCUACCCCUGUCAUUACAGAAAAUUCUCAGGGCUUUAGGAGCUCUGCCAAAAACUGAGGGGCAGAGACUAACAUAUUAUUUCUUAUUGUGUCACACUUUGCUUUGCAACUUUUGUGCACACUUUCAGGAAAAAAAAUUAAAAGCUUUAACAUAAACAGUUCUACUGCAUCAAUUCUAUCAUGAUUCUGCCCUCCUGUAGACACAGUUGGGGCCUGCAGCCCUUCUCCCCCGGCCCCCUAGAAGAGGCUCUUGACUCUCCUGUUCCUUUCAUCCACUGGCUCCACUGGGAUGCCAGUGGAGCAUCCCACUCCCUGCCAGCCCUUCUGUAGUCUCUCACUGCCUCAGGAGAAUCUUCAAAGGCCUUUCUGGGCCUCCUCUUACCACCUUCUCCACCACAUCCUUCCUCCCCGCUGCCCAGGGAUCCUCAGCUCCAGGUUCCUAUUGUCCUCCCUGUUCUGGGAGAGUCCACAGCACACACACUUCUCCUACCUUCCCUCAGUCUGGAACACUGCCUCUUCUCCCUCUUCUCUAUAAGGACUCACAGGCUGACAAAACAUCAAGAGUCCCCAGCUCAUUUUUCACCUGGCACUUGAAUUGUCCUUUGGAGUCACUCAGACCUUGAGGGCACCUGAACAUUUCAUCCACUGAAGUUCAUUCGUGGACAUACCUGUUCCCCUUGCUGACCUGAGGGGCCAGUGGUGGUCUCCCACAGCACCUGGCCAUUACUUGGUGGACUUGAUUUGGAUAAGGAAGGGGCCCAGGCUUUUUCACACAGUUUGCUAUUACUCAUCCUUAAAAAGGAAGGAGAUUCUGACACAUGUCACAAACCAGAGGAAACUUGAAAACAGUAUGUUGAGUGAAAUAAACCAGUCAGUAAAGGACAAAUAUAUGAUUCCAUUUUUAUGAAUGAGAUGUCUAGAAUAGUCAAAGUCAUAGGCACAGAAAGAUUGCAUGGGCUCAGCGAGGGGGGAGCCAUUGUUUAAUGGGUUCAGAGUUUCAUUUUUGGAGGAUGAAAACAUUCUAGAGUAAUGGUUGUAUGACAAUGUGAACGUACUUAGUGCCACUGAAUUGUGUACUUAAAAAUGUUUAAAAUGGUUAAGUGUUAUGCAUAUUUUACCACAAUAAAAUAAAAGUGGCACAAUGUAUUUUUUCCACAAGACUGGCUUUUCAAGAUUCUUCACCUUGACCCAUGUCUUGGGUUGGGAUCCCUGGGAAGCUGAAUCUGAGGUGUGUGCAGGUGUUUCUUAGGGACACUGGGCAUAGUGUGUAAUGAUGGGCAUUAGGCUGGAAGUAUCACCACAUCUCUGAGCUCUGGCACUGGGCAGCCCUGCAGAGCUGUCCUAAAUGGAGGAAGCUACUAUGGUCCAGUCCAUGCAUGACAAGUUCCGGUAGCAUCAUAUCAUUUUAUGUUUGAAACAUUAUGCUUUCUAUUCUAUUUCAUUUUAAAAAUGUAUUUUUAUUAUAGUUGAUUUAAGUGUUGUGCCAAUUUCUGCUGUAUAGCAAAGUGACCCAGUCAUAUAUGUAUAUAUGUGUGUGUAUGUGUAUAUACAUUCUUUUUAUUAUAUUAUUUUCCAUCAUUAUAUAUCCCAAGCAAUUGAAUAUAGUUCCCUGUGCUAUUUAAAAAAUGUUGAUCACUACCCACUAAAUGGAGAAGACACUAAUGAGUUGUCAUCGACAGUCUGGAAAGUUCUACAUGAGGGAAGUAGACAAGGAGAGACACUUUGGGAGGCCCAGAAUACUCAGUCUCAUUUCAUCGUUUCUGUGGUCAGUUUUGCUGACUUAUGUGCCAGAAGCAGCCUUCAAAUUCAGCUAAAGAGGACAGGAAGGAGAUUGGAAGGGAGUGUGUUAUGAAGAGAGACAGCCUCAAAGGCUGCAGGGGAGGGGCUUUCCUGACUCUUCCAGCAUUCUGAUGGCUAAGUCACCCCAAUCUCUGAUUCUGUCAUCACAUUGUCAUCUCCAUUUGUCUCUGGGUCUCAAAUCUCCUCCAUUGUCUUCUGAGGACACUUGUCAUUGGAUUCAGGGCACACCCUAGUUCAAGGUUAUCUCUUCUAAGAUCCUAACUUAAUUAUAUCUGCAAAGAUGCUUAUUCCAAAUAAAGUCACAUUCCUAGGCUCAUGAAUGUGUCAUUUUGGGGAGUUACCAUUCAACUGCUACACAGGGUGUAUUAGUACCAAUUCUUUUGGCCAUAUUUUGAGGACGACAUAUGUACUUAACCUCCCCAUUUCACUGCUGGUGAGGAGAUCAAGACAACAUUGAGACACAUAGCUACUAUGGUCCUGCAUGUUUGUUUCUUCAUCUGACUUCUCUGACUUUGUGUACCCAUUGCUCCCAAAUCAAGCCUUAGGACCUUAUGCCAUAAGUAAAUACCAUGGAGGCCAUGAUUAGGUAAAGAAGGCUGAUUAACCACAAGUAGCAAGCUGCACCAUAAAUUCCUCAGCCAUCAGAGCUGCCAGGGUUGUGCCCUCCCCGAGGAAGUUUUCUGUACAAAGGGGCCUCCACUCCUGCCUCUGAGACACACCUCACAUUACUGAGAUGGCCCUUGUUCUCUGAUGCUAUCGGCUCACUGAGGGUGUUUCCAGUCCAGGUGUCAUUUCCAUAAUUCAUUCAUGUGUAUUCCACAUUGCGGUGAGUCAGGGGGUGUCAGGAAACACUGAGGAAUGAGCUGGUGACCACACAUGCUCAUCCUGGCAGAUGAUGGCAUCUUUCUCCUCACCCUUCAGAGCAGGUUUUAAACUUUCAGAUGCAUGAGAAGCAGUUUGAAAACAGUUGUGGCUGGAUUGUGUCCUCUCAAAUCUAUACAUUGAAGCCCCUACCCCCAGCACUUCAGAAUAUGGCUAUAUUUGGAUAUGGGGCCUUUAACGAGGUGAUCAAGGUAAAAGAGGUAAUGUGAGUAGGCCCUAAUCUGAUAAGACUCCUGUCCUUAUAAGAAAAGGCAAUCAGGACACGGAUUCACACAGAGGGACAACUACUGGAAGACAGGGAGAAGAUGGCUGUCUACAGCCAAGGAAAGAGUCCUCAGGAGAAACCUGCCCUUUUACACUGAGAUUUCAAACUUCCAGCCUCCAGGACUAUGAGAAAAUAAAUAUCUCUUUUUUAAACUUCUCUAUCUUUGGUAUUUGUUUUUCAGCCCAAGUUGACUGAUACAAGAGCUUAUGGAAAAAUGUAAAUUCCUGCCUCUUCCCAUGGAACUAGUCUUAAAUCACGGGAUAAGUUGGUGCUUCUCAGCCUUUAUUUCAUCUUUGUCCCCACUAAGACUUUCUAAGACAUUUUUUUCUGUCCCCAUCUCCAUGAAAUUUUCACACCACAGAUACACAGGGUAUCUGUUUUUGUCCUGGGUCUUUGGAGGGCUACAAACCACUGUGUACAUGCUUUUAGCCCCAAGAACCAAUUUUUUUCCCCAUAGGAAGGAUAUUACCCUCAUCAAGAACGCAUGGGACAGAAAAAGAAUUGCCAUAUUUUUGCAUAAGGAAAAAUACUGCUUGAAAACAUCUCACCCGUGAGGUUGGGAGCUCCAUCUCAUACCACCUAUGCAUUUGCAGAAAGCCCCAGGAUCCAUUCUGGGAUCACAUGGAGCAGCACAGUCAGUGGCAGGUGGAUACUCAUGGGUGAAGUAGGUAGAUUUGGGGUUGAGUGUUCUGUCUCUGAGCUAGACUCUCAUUAAGUCUGGCUCUUUGGGGUUCAUUAUCUGUGCAAGUGAGACCCUGAAGCCUACCUGUGAGGUUGUCAAGAGGUUAGAAUGAGUGUUACAGAAGGCUCAGUGACCCAUCUGUGUUCUCCAGGUGGUAGUAUUUCCCCCAUUCUCAUUUCAUCCUAAUCAGGAGAGAGAUGGGUUCGACUUGGUCUCAGGCACUUACCGAGUGUGCUGAGGUGGUGUUUUCAUUAAAUCAGAGGCGAAUCCAUUAACCUUACUUGUUAGGCCAUUGAGGAGCCCUGGAUUCCUUUGCUCAUACAGUAAUGAAAAUCUGCUUUGGAUUUGUGUGAUGAGAAUUUUGCUUCCUUCUGGCUCACAGGAAGGAGAUCAGUGUCUGCUUGGGAAACAGUUCUUCCCAUCGGACAUCCAUGGGAACAAGAAUCCUUUGGGCUGCUGAAUCCUCAAGGCCUCAUAAGUUAAAGCAUUUUCUCACAAGACUGCUUCUAUUUCAGGUGCCAUUCACAAAUAAUAGGGCCCACAUUACCCAAAACUUCUGUCUGACUUUGCUGCAAAUUGGAGAUCCCCACUUAAACAUUUGCUAGAACAGUUUACAGAACUCAGGAAACGCUUACUAAUAUUUCCUGUUUAUUAUAGAAUAAAGGAUGUGAUGAAGGAUGCAGAAGAAGAGGCACAUGAGGCGAGGUCUGGAAGGGUUCCAAGCACAUGAGCUUGUGUUGCCAUAGAAUUUGGGCGCACCAACUGCUGGGCACAUGGAUGUGUUCACUGAUCCAGAAGCUCACACACUACUAUUGGGAUUUUAAUGGAGGCUUUGUCAUAUAGGCAUGAUAGAUCAUUAACUUCAUUUUCAGCCUCUCUCCUCUGGAGAAUGCAGGAUGGGACUGAAAGUUCCAAGCUUCUAAGGAUAAUUUUGUUUUUCUGGUGACCAGCCCCUCUAGAAGCCUACCCAGAGUGGCCUCAUUAGAACAAAAGAUACUUUGAGCACCCAGGAAAUUCCAAGGUGUUUAGGAGAUCUGUGUCAGGAACUGAGGUCAAAGACUAAAUGUGGAGUUCCUGUCGUGGCGCAGUGGUUAACGAAUCCGACUAGGAACCAUGAGGUUGCGGGUUCGAUCCCUGACCUUGCUCAGUAGGUUAAUGAUCCAGCGUUGCUGUGAGCUGUGGAGUAGGUCGCAGACGUGGCUCGGCUCCCGCUUUGCUGUGGCUCUGGUGUAGGCUGGCAGCUACAGCUCCGAUUAGACCCCUAGCCUGGGAAGGGAGCAGCCCAUAUGCUGUGGGAGCAGCCCAAGAAAUGGCAAAAAGACUUUAUGUUAGAAUAAAAAAUUC
rnacentral:lncRNA from 1 species